ensembl:snoRNA small nucleolar RNA SNORA77
GCAGACAAUACUCUGUUCUUUACUGUCACUCCAGUCUAGAACUUUUUAUGUCUGCUAUAUUAUCGUCAGAAUAUAUCAACUACUGGCUUUUUCUGAAAAGCAGGUGCUGAUAUGUUCUGCAACAAAAAA